rnacentral:tRNA from 1 species
GCCUUCAUAGUUCAACGGAUAGAACGGUGGAUUCCUAAUCCGCAGAUAGGUGUUCGAUUCACCUUGGGGGCACCA